AUUGAACGCUGGCGGCAGGCCUAACACAUGCAAGUCGAGCGGUAGAGAGAAGCUUGCUUCUCUUGAGAGCGGCGGACGGGUGAGUAAUGCCUAGGAAUCUGCCUGAUAGUGGGGGAUAACGUCCGGAAACGGACGCUAAUACCGCGUACGUCCUACGGGAGAAAGUGGGGGCUCUUCGGACCUCACGCUAUCAGAUGAGCCUAGGUCGGAUUAGCUAGUUGGUGGGGUAAAGGCUCACCAAGGCGACGAUCCGUAACUGGUCUGAGAGGAUGAUCAGUCACACUGGAACUGAGACACGGUCCAGACUCCUACGGGAGGCAGCAGUGGGGAAUAUUGGACAAUGGGCGAAAGCCUGAUCCAGCCAUGCCGCGUGUGUGAAGAAGGUCUUCGGAUUGUAAAGCACUUUAAGUUGGGAGGAAGGGUCGUUACCUAAUACGUGGCGAUUUUGACGUUACCGACAGAAUAAGCACCGGCUAACUCUGUGCCAGCAGCCGCGGUAAAAC
rnacentral:rRNA from 1 species